ensembl:snRNA U6 U6 spliceosomal RNA
GUGUUCACUUUGGCAGCACGUGUACGAAUAUUGGAAUGCUACAGAGAAGAUUAGCGUGGUUCUUGGGCAAGGACGACACGUAAAAUAAUAAAUAAUCCAAUUUCAA